AGAGUUUGAUCCUGGCUCAGGAUGAACGCUAGCGGGAGGCCUAACACAUGCAAGCCGAGCGGUAGAGAUUCUUCGGAAUCUUGAGAGCGGCGUACGGGUGCGGAACACGUGUGCAACCUACCUUUAUCUGGAGGAUAGCCUUUCGAAAGGAAGAUUAAUACUCCAUAAUAUAUUGAUUGGCAUCAAUUGAUAUUGAAAGCUCCGGCGGAUAGAGAUGGCACGCGCAAGAUUAGUUAGUUGGUGAGGUAACGGCUCACCAAGACGAUGAUCUUUAGGGGCCUGAGAGGGUGAUCCCCCACACUGGUACUGAGACACGGACCAGACUCCUACGGGAGGCAGCAGUGAGGAAUAUUGGUCAAUGGGUGCAAGCCUGAACCAGCCAUCCCGCGUGAAGGACGACUGCCCUAUGGGUUGUAAACUUCUUUUGUAUAGGGAUAAACCUACCCUCGUGAGGGUAGCUGAAGGUACUAUACGAAUAAGCACCGGCUAACUCCGUG
rnacentral:rRNA from 1 species